AUUAUUUUGGCAGAAUUUAUGCAAUGAAUUUAGAAUUCAUAAAUAUAUAGUUUUAUUAUAUAAAUAAUA
rnacentral:tRNA from 1 species